rnacentral:rRNA from 1 species
UGUCUUCCAAAUAAAGACUAGUAUGAACGGCCAAAUGAGGACCUAACUGUCUCCCAUAGUUAAUCAAUGAACCUGAUCUCUCAGUACAAAAGCUGAAAUAAAUACAUAAGACGAGAAGACCCUGUGGAGCUUUAGCCAAACUAUUAAAUGUUUAAAUCACCACCAACAGGCAUCAAACUCCAUUAUAAUAAUAAACUUAAGUUGGGGCAACUUUGAAAACAAAAAAAACUUUCAAGCCCUUGUAGGCCUAUUAAACCUAAGCCAAGAACAACAAGUCUAAGCACAACAAAUGACCCAGUAUAACUGAUCAACGAACCAAGUUACCCCAGGGAUAACAGCGCAAUCCUCUUUAAGAGUCCUUAUCGACAAGAGGGUUUACGACCUCGAUGUUGGAUCAGGACACCCAAGUAGUGCAGCCGCUACUAAUGGUUCGUUUGUUCAACGAUUAAAGU